rnacentral:rRNA from 1 species
GGAAUCUUCCACAAUGGGCGGCAAGCCUGAUGGAGCAACACCGCGUGAGUGAAGAAGGGUUUCGGCUCGUAAAGCUCUGUUGUUAAAGAAGAACACGUAUGAGAGUAACUGUUCAUACGUUGACGGUAUUUAACCAGAAAGUCACGGCUAACUACGUGCCUG